rnacentral:rRNA from 1 species
CUCUGUGAAGUUAAGCAGCCUCAAGCUCGGGUAGUACUCGGGUGGGUGACCACCGGGGAAGUCCGGGUGCUGUCUACUUU